rnacentral:rRNA from 1 species
CUAUGCGCCUUGCCAGCCCGCUCAGGUGUGCCAGCCGCCGCGGUAAUACGGAGGAUGCGAGCGUUAUCCGGAUUUAUUGGUUUAAAGGGUGCGUAGCGGGAUGCCAAGUCAGCGGUAAAAAUGCGGUGCUCAACGCCGUCGAGCCGUUGAAACUGGCGUUCUUGAGUGGGCGAGAAGUAUGCGGAAUGCGUGGUGUAGCGGUGAAAUGCAUAGAUAUCACGCAGAACUCCGAUUGCGAAGGCAGCAUACCGGCGCCCUACUGACGCUGAGGCACGAAAGCGUGGGUAUCGAACAGG